ACUUAGACUUAGGAGAGGGCUGUGG
rnacentral:piRNA from 1 species